AUGCUUUAAAGCCUUCCGCAGUAAGGAGGCAAGGGCAGCAGUUUCUAUGCUGUGCACGGGGGUUUGGAACAAGCAGAAAUCAUUGCUCGUCGCUCAGCACAAAGCUGGGACAGUUUACAAUAAAGGCAGCUCUUCCCACUUAAGGAAGUGGAGAUAUUUUAUUACGUCAACCAUAAAAGCGACUGAGACAGAAAGCUGGUGUCAAGAGCCGUGGCCGCCAUUGCUGUUGAGAAGUCCCCCAUGUGUUUCAUAGGAACUGGUUUGUGGGAGGAACGUGGGAUGGCUUGAGCGGAGCCCAAGAAACAGGUAAACAGCUUAGAGGGAGAUUCUGCUGGGAGUUUACCUGGAUGACGUUUCCUUUUAAAACAUGAAGACAACAGAGCCUGCUUAGAGCUUUCAGAGAGCUGGUCAGUAGUUAGAGGUUACAUCCUGCUGAAGAACUCAGCCUCCUCCCUCCUGCCCUGAAAUUUUAGUGAGGUGGACUCAGGAGCAAAGGACUAAUUAGUAAUUAACUAUGGCCGAAUUAUCAGGACAGCACAGUACAAAAGCUAUGUGGUUGCUGCAUGGAGUUGAAUGAAUGUUAUAGUGGAAAGCCAAAUUAAAAAUAAAGAUGUGAGCCGGGCGUGGUGGCGCACUCCUUUAAUCCCAGCACUCGGGAGGCAGAGGCAGACGGAUUUCUGAGUUCGAGGCCAGCCUGGUCUGCAAAGUGAGUUCCAGGACAGCCAGGGCUAUACAGAGAAACCCUGUCUCGAAAAACCAAAAAAAAAAAAAUGUGAAGAUACGCAAUCUGAAAAGGAAAGAAGUGUUCGAGAGUUUGCAGCUGUGGUCACAGCAAUGGCUGACUAUGAGAGAUUCAACCAGCAGCAUACUCUGCAUGGGGACAAAGGCCACGGUACCCUGAAAGCAAGACCUCACCCAGGAGUCCAGGGCGUAGCAACACAAAAAACAACUCAGGAAAAACCUUCCAUUUGAAAAGUGUUCACUGGAAUCCUGAGAAGGGACCGAUCACUCCAUAUAAAAUAUACUUCAUACGAAAUACAGUUUUUGAAAAAGAAACUUCAAGCGGGGCAGUGGGGGAGCGCACCUUUACUCACAGCACUGAGGAGGCAGAGGCAGGGAAAUAUCUGAGUUCCAGGCCUACGCAGUGAUACUCUCUCAAGAACAAAAGCAAGAGGUGAUGAGUGAGGCCUCCAGCCUUAGGAACCAACCAUUAAGUGAAUGUUCCCAGGGCACUGUGGCCUGGGCAUGGCGAGCACUAAAGCAACAAAGAUAUUGGCAAACUGGCAGAGCCCAGCCACAGCUCCUCAGCCAGGCAACUUCUGAGGGUGCUAGGAACAAACUGUCACUGUAGACACUGUGACCAUCCAAGGGGACGUCAGUCCUGGAAGCAGAGGAAGGUUUGCAGGAGGCUGCAGCUGAGGCUGUAACAAUGUGUGUGGCAAAUGCAGAGGGAAUGCACACAGAAAAUGGGGAGCGAAACUUCAGUGCUCAAGACUCCUUACCCAUCAAGAGAGCAUGGGGGCGUGCAUGUCCUCAAACUAUGCAGGCAGACAGAAAGCAAAUCACUAUUGAGAAUCCCAGAUAUCCCUAGGUAGGCUGUUUAAAUUGAGUUUCAUAAAAUAAUGUUUUUAAAAUUGUGUCACAUGGGGCUAGAGGGAUGGCUCAGCAGUUAAGAGAACUGGCUGUUCUUCCAGAGGACCUUGUUCAGUUCCCAGAAUCUACGAGACAGCUCACAACCAACUGUAACUCCAGUCUCAUGAGAUCUAACACCCUCCUCUACUCUCAGACUCACAUACACACACACUAAAAAACUAAAAGAAUUAAAAAUUAGGUCACUUGAAGGUUUUUAGUAUGUUCACAAAGUUGUACAACUAUUACCAACACAUCUAUUUUUUAUCAUUUUCUUUAAAACCCUCUACCAAUCGACUGCUAUCACCAACCUCUUUGGUACCUUCCCACCACUGAGCUUGAGUCUAUGGAGCUGCCUAUAGAUUUCAUCAUGUGAUUUUUGUCUAUCUGGCUUCUUAGUGUGUUUUCAUGGCUCAUGCAUAUACUUCGCAUGCUUUGAACUUCCUAAGUUUUUGUGUGGUUUCAAUUUCUUUGGUGUGUGAGAUUCUCAGCAGCUAAGAACAUUGGCUGCUCUUUCAAAGGACCUGGGUUCCCAAUUCUCAGCAGCUCACAGCUGUCUGUAAUUCUAGUCAAAGAAGUGCCUUCUUCAGCCCCCUGAAGGCCCUGCAUGCACGUGGUGCACAGAUAUACACGCAGGCAAAACACCCAUGUACAUAAUAUAAAAUAAAAAAUAAAGGAAAAAAAACGGUUCCCAGAAAAUUAAAAAAAAAAAAAAAUUUGAAGAAAAUUCUGCUUCCAGGAAACACAGCAAAGCCAAGUGUAAAAGAGAGAAAGCCCCAUUUGAAUAAGGCUUUUGUAGGCUAUGAGCUCAUGAUUCAGAACUGUGACUGGCCAUCCCCUGCCUCAGAGCUAAGAGGUGGGGACGAGUAGCCACCAAGGGGCUGUCAAAUAUCCUGGAGAAGACAUAAGCAGCAGAGACAGCAAAGGAGACUCUGGCGGAGGGAUAUACCCAAAAUGUACACGGUGCAAAGGGUAAGCAACCCUAGCCUGCUACUGGGCAGGGCAGCGUCUCUGCACUCAGGGAAGAGACAAGACUCUUCCUUACCUGCACACUACUAAUAAAAUGUGACCCUUUCCUAAACACAGUGCCUCUUCCCGAGGGCAUCGGUGCCUCUCGCAAGAGCCUGAACUUCUCCCAUUUGCUGUUCAACUGAUCGUGUCAUCCAGAAGCAUCUCCUGAUGUCUCCCCAGAGUCGGUGCAGUGAGUGCCCUGCACACAACGGAUGCUAAGUAGGCAUUGACAGACAGGAAAUUAUGCUCCCAUCAGAAGCACACAGCUGUGUUUUCAGUUCUGCUGAUUCAAUAUUUCCCAUCAGAAACAGCUUUCGGUCUUUCAGUACUGCAAGCGGUUUCUCCUCGUGCACAGGGGCACAGAAUGUAUGCAGUCCUCUGUGAUCAGAGGGAAUGCUGUGUGCAGCAACCCAAGGCACAUUAACAGUGAUUCACACAGCAGUCCUUUCCUCCCCUCCUUUCUCAGAUUGCUGGGAAAUCAAAUCUGGCCAUCAAGGUAAAUAGAAGCAGGGCUAGCUCUUCUGGUUACAGGAACAUCAAGAAGGGGGGAAAGGGGUCAACAGAUACAGGCUAUGUGGCAGCAAGGGCAAAGGGGCUCACUACCAGACACGGUCACCACAUGACCAUGGAGCCACACAGACAGCCAAAUGUCUAUUCCUGUCAUGUUAGUUACAAGUCAAGUGAUCAGCACAAAGCCAGACUAACUAUUGUAUAAUCAUAGACAAUUAUUUUGAACAACGUUAUCUUCAGCUAGACCUACUGUGCGGUUGGAAUUAGCAAAGUACAGGUCUACAGGCUGACUUUCCGGACAGGCAGAUGACACCAUAUUAGCUACAUUUCUCCUUUGUGCCCAAAAAACUGGCAACAAUUUAAGUGGAGGAGGAUUUAUAUGAGCAUGAGGUUUAAAAAGGGACAGUCCACUCUAGUGGGAAGGCAUGAUGGCAGGAAUGUGAACGACCAGUGAUACUGCCUGGAUGCAAGGUAGGAGGAAGAUGAGUGCCAGAGCGCCUCCUUCCACUCAGUCUGUAACUCCAAACCCUGGGGUCCAAAACACACUCACUCACACACACACAAAUGAGGGGAGCAAUUAAGUAAAAAAAAUUAAUUACUUAGCAUUUUCUGGAUCUUUUCUAUUAAUAUGGUUUAAUAAAAUACCCCCAAGCAGAAUGUUGCCCCGUGUGGGCUUCUGUUAACAUCAUAUAAAUUUUAGAACAAGGAAAGUGAUUUCUUUUCAGCAGCACAGCAGAGCCCUCUGGUGGCAACACACGGGACCUGCAUGGUCAUGAUUUUUAUAGGAAGCCAAAGUGACUUUAUGCUUUCAAUAAACAUAAAAUCUGUACAAACCUACACUCAAAAGAAUUAAUCCAAAUAUAAAAUGUGUAACUAUGAGACAUGGUGAUCUGUGUUAAAUAAAAGGAACUAUUUGAGCAAAUUAAGUCCUCCUUGAAAGAAAGGUGGACCUGCUGAGGUCCUCCAUGUAUCUGGCUCUUGGCAAAGUAAAAUGAAGCCAGGUCAGCCCAUUUCAGUCCCAUAGACCUGGCAGAACAUCUCUGCGUUGUCACUGCCUCCUGCUUAAAAAGUCUAAUUUUCCUGAUUUCUGUUUCUCCAGACAAUGUUUCUCUAACAGCCUUGACUGUCCUAGAAGUCACUUUGGAGACCAGCUGGCCUUGAACUCAUAGAGAUCUACCUGCCUCUGCCUCCAUAGGAUGGAAGGUAUGAGCCACCACGCCCAGUUUUACAGUCUCCAUGCUGAACAUUCCUGACUGUCUUUUCUGCAGAGCUAGACAACAGCAAAGGCGUCUCUGACUGAGUAACACUGUGGCUCCCCUCUAACCCCAUCUCUCUCAGAUAAUGGAGCUUGUAUCCAAACAAACCAUGAAGGCAGAUCUUCUGGACAAUGAGAUGCUUCCAAUGCAAUACAUCCUUACUGAGAAACCAGAAUUACAUUCAGUCUUAACAGACUUGUUUUUGUGUGUGAGUAUUUAUCUGUGUGUGUGCAGUGUCCACAGAGCCAGAGACUCCUGAUCACUCGGAGCUGGAGUUACAGGUUCCUGUGAGCCUUUAAGUGCUAGGAAUCAAACCUGGGUCCUCUGCAAGAGCACUAACUGCUGAGCCAUUAAAAAAAAAAAAAAGAAAAAAUUCAGGGGCUGGAGAGGUGGCUCAGCGGUUAAGAGCACUGACUGCUCUUCCAGAGGUCCUGACUCCAAUUCCCAGCAACCACAUGACUCACAACCAUCUGUAAUGGGAUCCAAUGCCCUCUUCUGGUGUGUCUGAACAUAGUGACAGUGUACUCAGAUACAUAAAAUAAAUAAUUCUUCUUAAAAAUGCAGACUAAGACUGAGUUUACACUGACAUACUUUUUUAAAAAAUUAGUAAUGUUUUUGUUGUUUUAUUUUAUUUUUUUUUUAUUUUUGUUUUUGAGACAGGGUCUUCUCUCUACAUAGCCCUGGCUGUUCUGGAACUCACUAUGUAGACCAGGCUGCCCUGGUCACAAAGAUCCACCUGCCUCCCCAGCUAGGGACAGGAUCAAGCAUGCACCAUCACACCUGGCAGUAAGGAUUUUUUAACUGAGUGCUGGUCUCAAAAUUGUAAUGUUUUCCAUGUUUUCUCUAUAACACAACACUGUUACAGACUUUACAAACUGUCUUUCACUGACUUACUACAUUUGAUUUUAACCAAGAAACUGAGAAAUGAUUUCUUCUUUUACUAACCCUAAUACAACAAUGACCAUCUAUUUUUCUAAAGGUAGCAAAGGUUUUCACUGUAAGCAGUCUAGUAUCUACACAUGUGGUUUUUAGCUUUGUGCAUAUUUUCUUAAGGUGGAAAGGAAGCCAGUAGAGAAAAUUGUCAACAUCAAUUCCUGUUUCAUUUCCAAUACCUGGGAGUAUAAUUCAGAAAUAAGAGGAGAGAUGCGGGGCUGGAGAGAUGGCUCUGUGGUUAAGAACACUGUUCUGCUGAAAGUCCUGAGUUCAAAUUCCAGCAACCACAUGGUGACUCACAACCACCCACAAUGAGAUCUGCCGCCCUCUUCUGGGGUGCCUGAACAGCUACAGUGAACUUACAUAUAAUAAAUAAGCCUUUAAAAAAAUAAAUUAAAAGGGGGGAGGGGCACUCACAGUACUGAGUGGAUGAGCACAAAGGAGUGCUCUGAAGACACUACCUGAUGUGUGCCUGCUCUAAAAUCCAUCAGGACAAGCUCCACAGAGGCUCCUUUAAGAACAACUAGAGCAGAAGUGCAGAGGCAAUCUAUCUUCUGGGCACUGUGCUGUAGGUCACUAAAGCACGACUCACCAUCUGAGACUACUCUGGGCUCCUGCCAAACACCAACACAGUUUAGUACCUGGGUAAUCCACUCUCCAAGCUCAUUUCUAUUGCAAAGAGUAAGGGGUGUGCUCCGGCCACUCACAUGACACCGAGGAUGUCAUGGGAAGAUCCCAGCAGUCAGAAAUGAUAAGAUUGAAACAUGUCUCUGACACAAAGUUUGUGAGCCCAAGUUGUAGGGCUGGGGAAUGUAGUGGUGGAAUGACUGGUUACCUAGCACGUGUCAGCCCUGGGUUCUAUGCCCAGCAUCACACAUGCAUGUGCACAUGUAUGUAUUUGUGGCUUAACUCCUACACUGAAACAGGGCUGACCAUUCUAUCACCACAGACAAAGGCUACGGCAUCAGGUAAGAAUGGUCUCCAAAUGUUUUCAAGACGUCUUACAAUUACCUAGGCUUCAUAGAGGAGACCCAGGAGACUCCUUGGGAAGAAGGCAAGGGAACAGGACCAAUCCUCUCCCAAAUGGUGGCUGCCAGCAACACCACCACUACUCCACCAUGGACUGAACUCACUGACACUGAAGCUGCUUUAAGACUAUGCUCCCAGCCGGGCGGUGGUGGUGCACACCUUUAAUCCCAGCACUUGGGAGGCAGAGGCAGGCGGAUUUCUGAGUUCCAGGCCAGCCUGGUCUACAGAGUGAGUUCCAGGACAGCCAGGGCUACACAGAGAAACCCUGUCUCGAAAAACCAAAAAAAAAAAGGCUAUGUUCCCGACACAAACUUGAUUUGAUUUGUCAGCAUUUCUAGCCUUUAGACUCCCCAACAGUGUGUCCCCCAAAGUUCUAUGUUCCCAUAUUAGUCACCGUGAAGCAGCUUCCAGCCAUAGUAAACACAUGUGUUAAGCUCCUGCCAGGCAACACUGAGCUAUCUGUGCACAUAUAUAGGGGGUUCCAGUUACUCAUUACAAUAGCCUUUUACCAUCUCCACGGGGAUGGGCCUGGGACUCACAACCUCUGUAACAUUGUACACAACGAAAGGGACAGUAAAGUGCCAGAGCUUCAAACACACACUAAGAAUUCACACGGGAGCAGGGUCUUUACCCACUCAGUUCAGAAUUAGAGCCCAAACACAACCUUAAAGCCUACUGUCUAAACACAUUUCCUUAUCCACAUCCCUCAGAUACUAAGGUUCAAAGAGCACUUGCAAAAGAAAGGAAAAAACCUACAAAAAUGUCUUGACACUGAAGUGGAAGAUGUUCAGCUUCCUCCUGUCUACAGGAAACAGGAACUAAAACUGCAUCCCUGCCACAUGUGGUUGCCUUGCCUUUUAAUCCCAGCACUUGAGGCAGAGGCAGGCAGCUCUCUUCAAGGCCAGCCUGAUCUACACAGUGCGUUCCAGGUCAACCAGAGUUAAGUAAUGAGACUCUGUGCCAACGACAAUCACAGCCUGCAUUUCUAACAUGUCUGGAAUUUAGAAUUCUGACCAGUAAUUUGGCAGCAUGUGUCAAAUUUUAAUAUAUACACUCAUAGAGUCUCUUACUGGGUGCAUCUGAAGUGCAGAGACCUAUGCAAGGAUGUGUAAAGAGGCCCUGCAGCACUUUGGACACCUCGACACCAGAAGGCAGUGAGGGACACUUGGUAGACCAGCAUGGUCAGGAAGGUGGAGAGCCGCAGCCACGUGGUCUCAGCGUGCAGUAUAGUCCUUAUUUUCUUCAAGAAGCUCUAAGUUGAGGGCGAGUGGAGGGAGCAGGGAGGAGGGAGACAAGCUGGGUAAGAUAAGAUGUUGGACAUGGGAAAGGGCCACAAACCUCCUGAGGGUAGAAAUUAGCAAGGCAGGGGUAUCUCUCACAUGUUCUGCUUUGUAGACAUUUGUAUGUUACUAGUAGAUAAUUACUUAUGAAACAAAAUGCAAAAUCCCAAAUAGCAAAGCUGCUGACGGCUGAUUUUCUAACGGAUAAGGCAGUGCAGACUAGUUCUCCACUCACAAAGCUGUGUGACUUACAGGAGUACAGUGUUACCUCAACUCCACCCUGAGUUCUUCCUAAAUUUUACGUCAAGUUGUUCACUUCAGGGACUGUACCAGAAAGGCAAAGUAAAAGUGAGGCCUUUAUGAUUAUCAACAUCAAAAAAACAAACGUAAAGACUUAGACAAAAUAAAUGACUAGCACUGCAUAGUUUUGCUACACUUUAUUCAAAACUGGUCCCACUUCUUAUUUAAGAGAGCUAAACGCCCAGUGUCCAAAUAUAAAUAUCACCAUGUGUUGGAAAAAUAACCUUCUGAUUUGCGCUCUGACCCAAAUUUGGCACAACUAAAUCCUAUGCGAGUCAGACAGGAGUGCUCAGAGCUCGGCAGCAGCAGCCCCUGAAGCAGCCCAGGAGGCGGCGGCCCCUGGAGCCUCUCAAGUCACACACAGCACAGUGGGCACAGGUUCUUUUAUUCUGUCCUGUGGGGUCAACAGUGCUGACAAGAUAGUCAGAGCAUUCCAAAAGCACACACCUGAACGUUGUCACAUAGCACUACAUCACAACUUAGUAACUACUCAACAGUUAUGUCUACUAAUACAGUGAAUGAAAUGGUAUGCUUAGACCAUUCCCUGUAAACAAGGCUGUGCACAACAGUAACACACAGAAUUAUGCAUACCAUGAUAUCAAGGAGGAAAAUACCUCUUUAAAUAAACUAUUCUAUUUAUAAAUAAACUCUGAUUUUUUUCAGUACACAUUUACAGACCUGAUCAA